GUGGAUAUAGCUCAGAGGUAGAGCGCAUGCUUAGCAUGCACGAGGUCCUGGGUUCAAUCCCUAGCACCUCCA
rnacentral:tRNA from 1 species